rnacentral:rRNA from 1 species
GAUGAACGCUGGCGGCGUGCUUAACACAUGCAAGUCGAACGAAGCACUUUAACCUGAUUCUUCGGAUGAAGGUUUUUGUGACUGAGUGGCGGACGGGUGAGUAACGCGUGGGUAACCUGCCUCAUACAGGGGGAUAACAGUUAGAAAUGACUGCUAAUACCGCAUAAGACCACAGAGCCGCAUGGCUCGGUGGGAAAAACUCCGGUGGUAUGAGAUGGACCCGCGUCUGAUUAGGUAGUUGGUGGGGUAACGGCCUACCAAGCCAACGAUCAGUAGCCGACCGGGGAGGGUGACCGGCCACAUUGGGACUGAGACACGGCCCAAACUCCUACGGGAGGCAGCAGUGGGGAAUAUUGCACAAUGGGGGAAACCCUGAUGCAGCGACGCCGCGUGAGCGAAGAAGUAUUUCGGUAUGUAAAGCUCUAUCAGCAGGGAAGAAAAUGACGGUACCUGACUAAGAAGCACCGGCUAAAUACGUG